GAUGAACGCUGGCGGCGUGCCUAAUACAUGCAAGUCGAGCGAACAGAUGAGGAGCUUGCUCCUCUGACGUUAGCGGCGGACGGGUGAGUAACACGUGGAUAACCUACCUAUAAGACUUGGAUAACUUCGGGAAACCGGAGCUAAUACCGGAUAAUAUAUUGAACCGCAUGGUUCAAUAGUGAAAGACGGUUUUGCUGUCACUUAUAGAUGGAUCCGCGCCGCAUUAGCUAGUUGGUAAGGUAACGGCUUACCAAGGCAACGAUGCGUACCCGACCUGAGAGGGUGACCGGCCAAACUGGAACGGAGACCGGGUCCAGACCCCUACGGGAGGCAGAAGUAGGGAAUAUUCCGCAAUGGGGGAAAGCCUGACGGAGCAACGCGGCGGGAGUGAUGAAGGUCUUCGGAUCGUAAAACCCUGUUAUUAGGGAAGAACAAAUGUGUAAGUAACUAUGCACGUCUUGACGGUACCUAAGAAGAAAGCCCCGGCUACCUACGU
rnacentral:rRNA from 1 species